UACGUAGGGUGCAAGCGUUGUCCGGAAUUAUUGGGCGUAAAGAGCUCGUAGGCGGCUUGUCACGUCGACUGUGAAAACCCGGGGCUCAACUCCGGGCCUGCAGUCGAUACGGGCUGGCUUGAGUGCGGUAGGGGAGACUGGAAUUCCUGGUGUAGCGGUGAAAUGCGCAGAUAUCAGGAGGAACACCGGUGGCGAAGGCGGCAUCCUGGACCGGUAUUGACGCUGAGGAGCGAAAGCCAGGGGAGCAAACAGG
rnacentral:rRNA from 1 species